UUCUGCUGAUCCAAAAAACUGACAGGUAUCUUUUCUCAAGAAUAUAUCCAAGUUCUAUACUUGGCUGUUCUUAUGCCUUGUCUUUAGCAUUUAAAUUAUUACAAAACAAUGAAUUUACAUAAAUCAACAGCCACCAAAUAAACCACAAAAAAAAAAAGCUAAAGCAUGCAUUCACUCAGAGCAGUUAAAGGUGCUUAAAGUCUGCUUAAUACCGCAGUUUGGAUGUGCAGCUCAGACUGAGGGUAAAUGCUUCUGAGUGCCUCCGACAGUUUCCGCUCAACACAAACACGUUUUUAUGAAGAUUUACCUGCCUGUCUACCACAAUUUCCUUUUUUUUUUUAUAUGCAUUUGUCUUUUGCCUCUCAGAAGGAUGAUUUAUAAGUCGUGUUACCAAAUACUCAGGAAAAUGAUUGUUACCUCAGAAUGAUAAAAUUAAGAAUGUAUGUUAUUACCUUAGGGUGUUUUUUAGGGAGCUUUAUGGAGCAAGGUGGGGAAACGGAGCCAUGGCCGACACUUCAGGGAAACAAUGAACUUACAAGGCCUUCAAUAGCAUACAGUACAUGCAUGCAAACGCACAAACGCUAACCACAAGGCUUUUUAGCUCUGGAAAACGUUAAGGUUUUUGUACCAAGGCCUGAAAUGUUGAAUGUAAUUCAGAUAUUUUUUUUAAAAAAAGGACAAUACAUGCCAUAAUGUACAUCGAUGAUGUUUUUAGAUAUAUGAAACAUAUUUUCUUGUGUAUAGAUGUAAUUCCCUAUUAGGUUUUGGUGAAUGAUGAAUGACGUGUUAAGUGUUAGUGUAGUUAGCAGUCGGGAAAAAAACGGGGGGAGGGAUUGUGGGCAAACUGUCAAAAUGAAGCACUCCUCAUGAACUAAUUUUGGCAUUUUUAAGACGUACAAAUACUCUUCUGUAACAAUCGGCUAAGUGGCUAAUCCUGUCAUCAUAGAGU